rnacentral:lncRNA from 1 species
UGAGUGCAGAAGAUUUAGUACAGGUAUAUUGCAUGAUGCAUCCUACCAUGCUCUGUGACGUGUUAAUAAGGGAAUAUAAUAAUAAUAAUAGUAUAUGCAGUUCCAUCCCCCUGAGUCACAGAGACUUGGAGAAUCUAUUCCAAGGCUCAUUUAAGCUGUUCAACACUUUACUAACACACUAUGUUGUGUUUUCCUUUCACUAGUUACCUGCCUUUUGGUUACAGUCCUUUUAAAAACAUCAGUCUUACAAGAAAUAUUCACUCCAAUACACAGAGAGCAGCUGAUGAGAGAAAACGUGUACGAGACCCUCCACACACCUCUAAAAGGGACUCUGUAGGACAUGGUAAGCCGAGGGGAAGGCGAGGAGGACGACGCCAUGCCUCCGCUACAGCCACAUAUCCCACGUUUGAGUGCUCCCUGUCAUCCAGUGUUGAGGUUCCUUUUACUGCAACCUCAACAAAACUAAAUCCUCAAGAGGAAUUUGAAAAAAAUAUGGAGAGGCUCUCUGAUAUUUUGGCGUCAUGUCCUUCUGCUGCUCAGCCUCAAAGUAGCUCUGCAUCAUCAUGGUCUUUUCGGCAGCAGGAAGCCUCAGAGCGCUGGAAAGAAGCAAGACCACACCACCUAAAAUGCCUUAUUUCAAAAGAGGCUAUUGGUCAUCCCCUGUGUGGCCUUUGCAACAAGCCUGCUGUUAUUAGGUGCAGAGAGUGUCUUCCUGAGGAGUGGUUCUGUUGGGACUGUGAUGUAUUGAAUCACAAAAAACAGCCACUCCACAACAGGGAAUGCGUGAUUCGUGGGUUUUUUGAAGCCAUUCCUCCAACCCUGUGCAUCAUUAAAGGGGAAUGUGGAUAUCGCAACCAUGAACAAGGUACGUUCUCACGAAAGCUUUAA